UAUAUAGAGUAGGGCUAGAAUACUUUUACAAGUAUCACCCAAGUGAUACUUGUGUGUUUUUAACCAUUGGAUCUACUUUUUUAUUACUAAUAGCCUUUAGAUCAAACACUAUUCUACCUACCACCACCUACCACCACCUACCACCAUCAUCUCAACCUCACAUCUCUCCAUCCAAGAGCUAAAAACACACAAGUAUCACUUGGGUGAUACUUUUACAAGUAUUCUAGCUCUACUCUAUAUAUAUAUAUAUAUAUAUAUAUAGUAGAGCUACUAUGCUAUCGAAAGUAUAGAAAUCUGGUGCUUUUGAUUUUUUGAUUCUUAGAUCAAUCCCUUUAGUCGUUUCUUAUCUUUGGAUUAAUAUUAUUAUUACCUUGUAGGGACCACUCAAUCCUAAGGUAUCGUUUGGUUCGGGGAUAAGCAAAAAGUGGCUAUUUCAGAAAUAAGUAUAAAUUGAGGUAUAAGCGGGGAUUAAAUCAAUUUUACGUUUGGAUGAAAAUUGGGUUAUUCCUGAGAAUAAAAAAAAAAUAGCGUUUGGUUAGGUAAGGUGGAAUAAGAAUUAAAGUGGGUAGUUAUAAAUAAAAAAUAAUGAUAUUAACCCUCUCCUUAUAUUUGAAUUUGAAUUUUUAAAUUAUAUAUAUAUUUUUUAAAUUUUAAAUUUUCAAAUUAAAUUUUAAAAUUUAAAAUAUCAAAAUUUAAAUUCAAAAUUCAAAAUUUUAAAUUUUAAAUUUUAAGUUUCAAACUUUAAAUUUAAGAUCAAAUUUAAAUUUGAAAAAUAUAAAAUAUAAAAUUUUAAAGAUUAAAUUUUAAANAUUUAAUAAAAAUAAUAUUUUAUAAUAUUUAAAUAUAAUUUAUUAUAAUAUUUAAUAUUUAAAUAUAAUUAAUAUGUAUUAAUAUAGUACAAUUAAAUAAUUUUAUAAUAAAAAUAAUAUAUUAUAAUAUAUAACAUAUUAUAUUUAUAUAAUUUAAUUUUAAUUUAAUUUAUAAUUUUAAUAAAGUUUGAAAUUAAACAUUGGAAUAGCACUAUUCCAUCAAAAUGGUGGAAUAGUAAAUCCCUUACUAUUUCGGAAUAGCCGGAAAUAGCAUGAUUUGACCGGGAUAAAAUAUUCCGGCAAAAAUUAUUUCGUUUGGUGGAAUAGCAGGGAUAAUUUUCGUUAUCCUUGUUUAUACCGCCAACCAAACGGGGCCUAAGAGUAUUAUUUAAUCCUAGGGAAGACCGCAAUCAUCCCAACUAUACAAUUUUUAAUCAAAGUGUCAAAAAUUCAAAAACAUCAAAUCCUCUAUAUUUUCGAUAGCAUAGUAGUUCUACACUCUAUAUAU
rnacentral:lncRNA from 1 species